rnacentral:rRNA from 1 species
CCUACGGGAGGCCGCAGUGGGGGAUAUUGGACAAUGGGGGAAACCCUGAUCCAGCGACGCCGCGUGAGUGAAGAAGUAUUUCGGUAUGUAAAGCUCUAUCAGCAGGGAAGAAAGAAAUGACGGUACCUGAGUAAGAAGCCCCGGCUAACUACGUGCCAGCAGCCGCGGUAAUACGUAGGGGGCAAGCGUUAUCCGGAAUUACUGGGUGUAAAGUGAGCGUAGACGGUAAUGCAAGUCUGGAGUGAAAGGCGGGGGCCCAACCCCCGGACUGCUCUGGAAACUGUGUAACUGGAGUGCAGGAGAGGCAGGCGGAAUUCCUAGUGUAGCGGUGAAAUGCGUAGAGAUUAGGAGGAACACCAGUGGCGAAGGCGGCCUGCUGGACUGUAACUGACGUUGAGGCUCGAAAGCGUGGGGAGCAAACAGGAUUAGAUACCCCGGUAGUC